rnacentral:rRNA from 1 species
UCCUGGGGGGGUGCUAUACAUGCAGUCGAGCGAACAGAUAAGGAGCUUGCUCCUUUGACGUUAGCGGCGGACGGGUGAGUAACACGUGGGUAACCUACCUAUAAGACUGGGAUAACUUCGGGAAACCGGAGCUAAUACCGGAUAACAUUUGGAACCGCAUGGUUCUAAAGUGAAAGAUGGUUUUGCUAUCACUUAUAGAUGGACCCGCGCCGUAUUAGCUAGUUGGUAAGGUAACGGCUUACCAAGGCGACGAUACGUAGCCGACCUGAGAGGGUGAUCGGCCACACUGGAACUGAGACACGGUCCAGACUCCUACGGGAGGCAGCAGUAGGGAAUCUUCCGCAAUGGGCGAAAGCCUGACGGAGCAACGCCGCGUGAGUGAUGAAGGGUUUCGGCUCGUAAAACUCUGUUAUUAGGGAAGAACAAAUGUGUAAGUAACUGUGCACAUCUUGACGGUACCUAAUCAGAAAGCCACGGCUAACUACGUGCCAGCAGCCGCGGUAAUACGUAGGUGGCAAGCGUUAUCCGGAAUUAUUGGGCGUAAAGCGCGCGUAGGCGGUUUCUUAAGUCUGAUGUGAAAGCCCACGGCUCAACCGUGGAGGGUCAUUGGAAACUGGGAAACUUGAGUGCAGAAGAGGAAAGUGGAAUUCCAUGUGUAGCGGUGAAAUGCGCAGAGAUAUGGAGGAACACCAGUGGCGAAGGCGACUUUCUGGUCUGUAACUGACGCUGAUGUGCGAAAGCGUGGGGAUCAAACAGGAUUAGAUACCCUGGUAGUCCACGCCGUAAACGAUGAGUGCUAAGUGUUAGGGGGUUUCCGCCCCUUAGUGCUGCAGCUAACGCAUUAAGCACUCCGCCUGGGGAGUACGACCGCAAGGUUGAAACUCAAAGGAAUUGACGGGGACCCGCACAAGCGGUGGAGCAUGUGGUUUAAUUCGAAGCAACGCGAAGAACCUUACCAAAUCUUGACAUCCUUUGAAAACUCUAGAGAUAGAGCCUUCCCCUUCGGGGGACAAAGUGACAGGUGGUGCAUGGUUGUCGUCAGCUCGUGUCGUGAGAUGUUGGGUUAAGUCCCGCAACGAGCGCAACCCUUAAGCUUAGUUGCCAUCAUUAAGUUGGGCACUCUAAGUUGACUGCCGGUGACAAACCGGAGGAAGGUGGGGAUGACGUCAAAUCAUCAUGCCCCUUAUGAUUUGGGCUACACACGUGCUACAAUGGACAAUACAAAGGGCAGCUAAACCGCGAGGUCAUGCAAAUCCCAUAAAGUUGUUCUCAGUUCGGAUUGUAGUCUGCAACUCGACUACAUGAAGCUGGAAUCGCUAGUAAUCGUAGAUCAGCAUGCUACGGUGAAUACGUUCCCGGGUCUUGUACACACCGCCCGUCACACCACGAGAGUUUGUAACACCCGAAGCCGGUGGAGUAACCAUUUAUGGAGCUAGCCGUCGAAAGGUGGAACAAAAAACA